ensembl:lncRNA
CCGUUGUUGUAUAAGAGGAAUGAAAGACAGGAUGGUCACAUUUGGACACAUCACACCACACCCAUGACUGAAUAUUUUCCUAUAAAAGCACACCUUACCAAAUCUAUUUUUCAAUCUACAUGGUGGUCCAAAAGUCUCUAUACAUGGAAGACUAUAUUUGCCAGUGUAACCAGUCCAUUCUGCCAAGCCCGGCUACACUGCGUUGUGUUCUGGUGCAUAAUAGACACUGGACACCGGCGUAUCUUGUUGAACUCAGGUUUAUUCAUCCCUCAGACAAGCUCAACAUCUAUUUAGAGUUCAGAGAGAGCAAAACGUCAUCAUACAGGAUUUAUCUUCAACAAACCUCUCUCAGUCAAACUCAACGCCGACUCACUAUCAACAUGAGACUAACUCAAAACAUGUUAAUGAAAUACAAAAAGGUACAAAUAAACGUAAUUACAUUGUGUUCUAUGACAUACAAUUAUAUUAUUAAUAACAAUUAGCUUUUUAACUUAAUACAUAUUAAUACAAAUAAUGAUUAUAUUGGUGCACAUUUAUCACCUGGCGCGCACACACACAUUCUAUGAAGGAAAGGAAUACACAAGCGCCCACAGCAAUCAUGAAAAAGUUCCUAUAUCACAACAACCUAAUACAGUGAACUUGACUAAAAUAAUACAUUUACUGAACAUGGCAAUGGGAGUACAAAACACAUGCACAUACCUAUUUAGAGUUCAAAGAGAGCAAAACGUCAUCAUACAGGAUUUAACUUCACAACAAACCUAAUACGAGAAAAUAACGUAAGCGUGUACAUCGAUAAGAUAAAAUGGCGACAGCUAGCGCGCGCGCACACAAGAAAAGCGUGCUAAUUUGCUCAUCUUUCACAAACUCAUUGUACAAGUAAAAUACACAGCAGAAACGAUCCGUCUGUCCUAAUAAUACUAUAAAUGAUUAAACAGGGUUGUGCACGUGAAACGACUUUUAAAGCUUAAAAUUCAAACUUUAUAAUCGCACUGGUUUAACUAUAUACCGCUGAGCCAAACUCAACGCUGAC